UGUGGGAGCUGGCUUGCCUGCGAUGCGAACACCUCGGUCUACGAGUCAGACCGAGGCGAUGCAAUCGCAGGCAAGCCAGCUCCCACA
rnacentral:antisense_RNA from 1 species